AUUGAACGCUGGCGGCAGGCUUAACACAUGCAAGUCGAGCGGAGAUGAGGUGCUUGCACCUUAUCUUAGCGGCGGACGGGUGAGUAAUGCUUAGGAAUCUGCCUAUUAGUGGGGGACAACAUUCCGAAAGGAAUGCUAAUACCGCAUACGCCCUACGGGGGAAAGCAGGGGAUCUUCGGACCUUGCGCUAAUAGAUGAGCCUAAGUCGGAUUAGCUAGUUGGUGGGGUAAAGGCCUACCAAGGCGACGAUCUGUAGCGGGUCUGAGAGGAUGAUCCGCCACACUGGGACUGAGACACGGCCCAGACUCCUACGGGAGGCAGCAGUGGGGAAUAUUGGACAAUGGGCGGAAGCCUGAUCCAGCCAUGCCGCGUGCGUGAAGAAGGCCUUUUGGUUGUAAAGCACUUUGAGCGAGGAGGAGGCUACCUGGAUUAAUACUCUAGGAUAGUGGACGUUACUCGCAGAAUAAGCACCGGCUAACUCUGUGCCAGCCGCCGCGGUAACAC
rnacentral:rRNA from 1 species